AUCCACUGGGAGUCCUUUUGCGUUUCAGAUGCUCCCAGGCUCUCCCGCAGUUUAAAGACUUAACUCAGCGGCUUUCAGGGCCUGUGGUUGAGGGACUCCGAAAGAACUGUUGCUGGUGGACCGGUUCAGGGUCUUGACUUCGCCACACAAAAGAACUUGAGAGCACGUCCAAAGUAAAGCUAAGACCUCUAGUACAGUGUUCAAUGGAACUGGUGAGAAAAGACGUCCUUGCUGUGUUCCUGAUAUGAAGAGGAAAGCAGUCCUUCUCCAUUAAGUAAAAUGCUGACAACAUGAGCCUCCCGUGGUCGGAACGGGCUUGUGAAGGCGGUGCUGGGGUGCACCAGGGCAGCAGCUACAGAGAUGACAGAAGAGACAUCCAGGAGUAGAUUUCAAUGCACAGCAGCAGCUGAGAGAAGCCAGCUGUGAAAAAGUUGCCAGGAGCAAAGCUACUGAGGCCCUGAAGAGCUCAUCAGGUGAUGACAGCGCCUGCUGGGAUGUCAGGGAAAAGAGGAGCUGGGGCCACUGGGCCUCUCUGACAAACAGAAAGCCAGGCCUGAAACCCGAGUAGCGUUUGUAUCCACCUCCCUCAGUCCAUGUGUGGCCGCCUGGCCGGCUGCUGUCUUAGUUCCUCCACGUGGCACUUGUUGAGCACCUGUCUCUGGCUGGAAUGCCGGGUGCCAGAAGAAACUCUGCAAGUAAAACUCAACCAUCCCAGGACACUGGAAAAUCACCACUGUGAUGGGCCAACUCUGGUUCCCAGUGACAUUGUAAGUUGCUCCCGAAUCGCCUUUUCCAAGGCUUAAUCGGCUGAAGUCGAUGUGCAGAAACUCAUCAACAGAACUUUCAGAAAGGAGAAGCGAAAAUGGGCUGCCCCGAAGAUGAGGUCUUGCACCUCGCCAAGUGGCUCCUAAAAGGCCACUUAUUGGAAGGAUCCCUGUCUUCUAAAGAAUUGAAAUUUCUUGGCCGGGCAUGUUGGCUCACGCCUGUAAUCCCAGCAAUUUGGGAGGCCAAAGCGGGUGGGUCACCUGAGGUCAGGAGUUCAAGACCAGCCUGGCCAACAUGGUGAAACCCCAUCUCUACUAAAAAUACAAAAAUUACCCGGGCAUGCUGGCAGGCACCUGUAAUCCUAGCUAAGGAGGCUGAGACAAGAGAAUUGCUUGAAUCUGGGAGGCGGAGGUUGCACUGAACCGAGAUUGUGCCAUUGCACUCCAGCCCGGGCUAAACUCUGUCUCAAAAAAAAAAAAAAAAAA
ensembl:lncRNA MIR646HG MIR646 host gene